AAAUGAUUCAGCUCCUACUGAAGUCAAUAGCAAUUCUUUUGUAAAACAUGCAUCACCUGAUAAAUAAACAUAAACUUAAGGACCAAAUCCUGCUCACUGUGAGCAAGUGGUCCUAUUACAGGAGCAGUCCUAUUACCAGCAGUCCCAUUGAAAUCAGUGGAACUACUCGCAUAAGUAAGGCAGGUUUUGGCUCUUAAGCCCUGAUCUUGCAGAUGAUUGUAACCAUAGAUAUAAUUACCUGCAUAGAGCUCAGUGGGGCUCUAUGUGGGUGCACAGGUCCAACUAGGUGAAGUCAGUUGCAGGAUUAGGGCCUUAGUAUGUAUGAAAUACCAACAGGCUUGGCUGGGCUUUGUCCAUGCCUAAGCAUUUCACAGUCCAAACGUCAAAUUAUUGACAAGGCAAAAAACCCAGAGAAUGAUUAGCUUGUAUGAUCUGACCAUCUCAAAAGAAUCAGUUUGUCCCCAUUCAUUUAAAGAGUGUUCGGUAGCAAGAAUUUAAAAUUUGACUGGGGAGUAAGUACCCAGUGCUGCUCCCAUUGAAAUCAAUAGCACAACUCCCAGGUCAAAAUUUUCAUAAGUGGUCACUAAAUUUGACUGCCUCCAUUUUUGAGAUACCUUGUGCAUGACUGUCAAAUGUGCUGAGCACCAGCAGCUCUCAUUGAUGUCAACAUUCAAGAGUUAAUGUUCAGAAGUAGGGACCUGAUCCUCUGAUUUAUUUAACCUGACACCAAAGGGAGCAGCAUUGGGAUACAAAAUGUUUUAUUUACCUGCGGCCCAAGUCUGCUCUCACCGAUGUUAGUUGCAGUUAAUGGAAUCAUGAAUUCUGAAUAUUAAAAAGGAGGAAUCUUAUUUAUUGUCAAAAUUAGAAAAACGGAAAACAUCUACUGAUUUAUUCCUUGGAUUCAUUUGGCCUACUCCAAGCAAAAAAGGUGUGAACUUUAUUUAAUUGAUCCCUGAAAUGAUAUCACAAGAAGUGAUUCUUUUGGUUUUGUUUAAUGAUUCAUACAGUGGAGCUAAUUUAAAAUAGAAGCUUUUAUAGUUUAAUUUUUUUUUAAAUUAUUUAUCAGCCCAAAUGUAGGGUAAUAAAAUCAUAACCUUUAAAAUAUAUACAUGUCAAAUCUCUUCUCACCCCACACCGAAAGGUAAAAUCCAAACACAAAAUGACCAACAUAGUUUGUUAAAUAAAUAAAAGUUAAAUAAAUAAAUAAAAAACAUUUGUUCCACACCCAGUGUUUAUUAAAAAUAAUCAGAGGACAAUUUAUUCCUUCUGGUUUCCACUGUAAUGAUCUUAUAUCUGCACUAUGGCUCUCUCUUUCUUGCAUGUCCUGUAUUUGUUCUCUGUGCAGAACGUCCAGCGUUGCCUAUGGGAGGAUUGCAAGUGGAACAAGGGCAGAAUAUGCAAUACAGAUCCAGUGUGAAGAACUCCACACUGUGGACUGAAGGCAAAUGGUUAUUGGCAGACAUGAAGACUGAAGUCCUCUAUUUAUCAACUGAACAAGUAUAGCACUGGAAUCAGGAAUGCAGAAACCACUGUCUUUGAGUUUCAACCCUGACUGUGACCUGACCAGCUCUAGGAUAAUCAGCUGAACAAGAGCUAUCAGUAUGAUGCUGUGGCCUAAAGGACUCAUAAGGGGCAAGACUGGGGAGGAAGGCAGACCUACCCUGAGGACCCUUGAACAAGGAUGCCAAAGAAGCCUUACUGUGAGGAAGAAGACUAUCUGCUGAUCAUAGUUGGGGCUGAAGGUUUAGUUGUCUUCUCUUUUCUUUUGCUAUCUUAUAUUGGACUUAAAGAUUUGGGGGAGACAGAUGGUAAGAAUUGAUCCACAGAGGCAUCUCUGAAGCAAUCUAGAGUGCCUAAUAUUAUUGAUCCUCUGAGGGCCCUAGUUCAGAGCCCGGUGGAAUGGGAUGGCCCAGGCUCCCCUACCAACUGCCCUUGUUGCAAGAGAGGCAUAAACCUCAUUCCCACUCCACCUCCACCUCUAAUAAGGAGAAGGUAAGGACACUGAAAAUGCUGAGGUGAGGAUAAGCCACAUAUAAGUAUUAGGAACUAGACUGAAGGUCCUUCCUGCUGGGAGGCAAGAAAUUGAAAACCAGGUAUGCUAACCACUAGGCCUCCUAGCCUUCCAACUACUCUACUAGAGAUGCAUAAAUGGAGGGAAUAUCAAGUAGGAGUAGAGAGGUCAUUUUACCACUGUAUUUGGCACUGGUGCAGCUACUGCUGGAAUACUCUGGUGUCCACAAGUCAAGAAGGAUGUUGAUAAAUUGGAGAUGGUUCAGAGAAGACCCGUAAGAAUGAUUUAAGGAUUAGAAUACAUGCUUUAUAGUGAUGGACUCUAGGAGAUUAAUCUAUUUAGCUUAACAAAGAGAAGUUUAAGGGGUGGUUUGUUUAUAGUCUGUAAGAAACUAAAUGGGGAACAACAAAUACUUGACAGUGGGCUCUUAAAUCUAGCAGAGAUGGGUAUAACAUGAGUCUAUGGGUGGAAGUUGAAGCUAGAAAAAUUCAGACUGGAAAUAAGGCAUAUCUUUUUAACAGUGAGGGUAAUUAACCCUUGGAACAAUUUGCCAAGGGUCAUGGUGGAUUCUCCAUUACUGGCAAUUUUUAAAUCAAGAUUGCAUGUUUUUGUAAAAGAAAUGCUCUCAGAAUUGUUUCAGGGAAGUUCUAUGGCCCAUGUUAUACCUGAGGCCUGUGUUAUACAUGAGAUUUUCCCUUCCGGCCUUGUAAUAUAUGAAUCUGUGAAAAUAAAAAGUCUGACCACGCUAGAACUGAAAGUAAA